GGAAAAAGACAGUUGAUCCUAGACAUUAUUCAAUUCCAGGGCAUUUCAAAACACAACCAAAACAGUUGUGGAUAAAAGAAAUGAAAGCUGAGCUGUGAGCUAAGGACCACACUCUUAAACAGGCGAAAGAGAGGAUGAGGGAUAACCACAUGGGUCACAGCUCAACACAGGAUCCUUGCGUUCUCAGAGAGUGACUAGUGACUCUCAGGGAGACAGGGAACUCAGGAUGUGGC
rnacentral:lncRNA from 1 species